rnacentral:rRNA from 1 species
GGAUGCCGAUCUCGAAAACCUGUCCCAGUUCGGACUGGAGUCUGCAACCCGACUCCACGAAGUUGGAUUCGCUAGUAAUCGCGCAUCAGCCAUGGCGCGGUGAAUACGUUCCCGGGCCUUGUACACACCGCCCGUCAAGCCAUGGGAGCCGGGGGCGCCUGAAGUCCGGGACCGCGAGGACCGGCCUAGGGCGAAACUGGUGACUGGGGCUAAGUCGUAACAAGGUAGC